UCACACACUUCCUAGUUACCAGUGUCGUCCUGGAACCUGGGCCUUGUGAUUUCUCUGCCAGGACCACUUUGUAACCGCCCACCCUCAACCUUUACAGAUCAUUUAGGAGUCACCAUGCCUUUCCUUUGGAGUAUAUUUGUGCUAUAUUGAGAGUCAUUCAUUCUUCCCAGAACAAGGCCAUGUUAUGAUGACAA